UACGGAGGGUGCAAGCGUUAUCCGGAUUCACUGGGUUUAAAGGGUGCGUAGGUGGGCAAGUAAGUCAGUGGUGAAAUCUCCGGGCUUAACCCGGAAACUGCCAUUGAUACUAUUUGUCUUGAAUACCGUGGAGGUCAGCGGAAUAUGUCAUGUAGCGGUGAAAUGCUUAGAUAUGACAUAGAACACCAAUUGCGAAGGCAGCUGACUACACAAAUAUUGACACUGAGGCACGAAAGCGUGGGGAUCAAACAGG
rnacentral:rRNA from 1 species